GUGUAGUAUGAAAGGAGAGACGUUUAGCACUUCCCUUAGACAAGGAUGGAACACAUAUUCAUAAAUUGGUAAGGCACUUGUCGUCCUUUGGCGACACUUACCAAAUUUUUUAU